rnacentral:rRNA from 1 species
GAUGAGCGCUGGCGGCGUGCCUAAUACAUGCAAGUCGAGCGAACAGAUAAGGAGCUUGCUCCUUUGACGUUAGCGGCGGACGGGUGAGUAACACGUGGGUAACCUACCUAUAAGACUGGGAUAACUUCGGGAAACCGGAGCUAAUACCGGAUAACAUUUGGAACCGCAUGGUUCUAAAGUGAAAGAUGGUUUUGCUAUCACUUAUAGAUGGACCCGCGCCGUAUUAGCUAGUUGGUAAGGUAACGGCUUACCAAGGCGACGAUACGUAGCCGACCUGAGAGGGCGAUCGGCCACACUGGAACUGAGACACGGUCCAGACUCCUACGGGAGGCAGCAGUAGGGAAUCUUCCGCAAUGGGCGAAAGCCUGACGGAGCAACGCCGCGUGAGUGAUGAAGGGUUUCGGCUCGUAAAACUCUGUUAUUAGGGAAGAACAAAUGUGUAAGUAACUGUGCACGUCUUGACGGUACCUAAUCAGAAAGCCACGGCUAACUACGUG